rnacentral:rRNA from 1 species
CCUACGGGGGGCUGCAGUGGGGAAUAUUGCACAAUGGGCGCAAGCCUGAUGCAGCCAUGCCGCGUGUGUGAAGAAGGCCUUCGGGUUGUAAAGCACUUUCAGCGGGGAGGAAGGCGUUAAGGUUAAUAACCUUGUCGAUUGACGUGACCCGCAGAAGAAGCACCGGCUAACUCCGUGCCAGCAGCCGCGGUAAUACGGAGGGUGCAAGCGUUAAUCGGAAUUGCUGGGCGUAAAGCGCACGCAGGCGGUCUGUCAAGUCGGAUGUGAAAUCCCCGGGCUCAACCUGGGAACUGCAUUCGAAACUGGCAGGCUAGAGUCUUGUAGAGGGGGGUAGAAUUCCAGGUGUAGCGGUGAAAUGCGUAGAGAUCUGGAGGAAUACCGGUGGCGAAGGCGGCCCCCUGGACAAAGACUGACGCUCAGGUGCGAAAGCGUGGGGAGCAAACAGGAUUAGAUACCCUAGUAGUC